AAAAAAAGAAUGUGCAGAUCCGAGCGGCAACCAUGUUGGACUUCUUCUAAACUGUCGUGUUACGCGAGUGAUUUUUUACCUAAAUUUAUUUGGGUUUAUUAUUGAGCCUGAGUGAUAAAGUGAUUAGAUCCAAUUUCUAUAGCCAGAUGAUAGAUACGCAGCAAUUUCCUAAUGUUUGCCAAUGGGCUGUCAGAUAAAAUUCAAGAAAACCAGUUAUCUCGGCCUUCAACUGGUAGAAUAGAAGACAUGCAAUAGUUUUAUCGCAAUUUAAUAUCCAAUAAAAUUUAAAAUAAAAAUGAUUGAAUAAAAACAAAAGUUCAUAUAAAGGCAUGUUUUUAUUUCGAUGAAAAAUCCAUUAAUGCCCCGUCCACACUAACAGUAAAGGUUACAGUACUAUGCAAAUUAUUUAUUCAUGGUCAUACUGUACGUACAUUGUUACCCAUAUAGUUGUUUGCUUGGAACAAGGAUUAUACAACACCUGCAAGACAUAAUGUACUC